GAGAAUGACCAUACCACCCUGAAUGUUCCUGAUCUCAUCUGAUCUCAGAAGCUAAGCAAGGUCGGGCCUGGUUAGUACUUGGAUGGGGGAGGAGAGGGAGUGUGAGAUGGAUUUUUCC
rnacentral:rRNA from 1 species